CUGGGGAUUGAAGGUCAGGGUGGAAAUGGCUGCCUUUCUGGCUGCCAUUUUCAAGGUCCCACUGUCUUUCCAAGCUUUGGCUGGAGAAGAGGGAAAUGUCACUAGCAGAUGGGGUGUUACCAUCUCCCGUGCACACUGGCAUCCACGGUCAUAGGAGAUCCUCAUGAUGACUCAAAUGUCAGGACCCUCCACUUUUCCACCAGUUUGUCCACCGGUGAAAAGGAGAAGCCAGCCAAGAACCAGCAGCUUCUGGCUACCUUGAUCAGAAGGUUGAUGAAGGCAAUGAAACAAAGAUGGAAAAACACAUCACACAGGCCCUUACCAGAUGCCAGCAUCUUGAUAUUGGACUUCCCAGCCUUCAGAACUCCUGACCAUUUAAAGAAUGAAAAUGUGUUCACAUGAGGAAACCAAGGGUGUGGCCAACAAACCGUUGGAUAAGGCUCCAGUCAAGCAACCCACCUUAUCAAGUGGACCAGGCACAGCUCCUACUUAUCCCUGAGUAGUGGGUAUCAGUUUCCUGCUAACCUCGGAAUUGUUCAAAGCCCAUCAUAUUCUCCUGCAGGAACCAGGGAGCACCUCACCCUCUUGUUGCUACAAAGCUUGCCACCCACAGCCCCUGCCUGUUCACCCUGCUCUUGAGGGCAACCCCUGUAUGGCCAGCAUCCCAUGCUGUGUUCACCUCUCCCAGGCUGCGAGUGUAGUGAAUAAUAACUGCCGUCAAUCGCAUCUGUUAAGCAUCAAGUGUAAUGUGUUUGGUCAUCCUCAUAAUUCUAGUGUGGAAUGUCUCCCUCACCAAUGGGGUGAACAGGAGGGAAUGAAAACAAUGUGUAAAAUAUUUAGACACCGCAAGAUACAUAUUUAGAGCCUGGCAAAUGUUAGUUAAGGCCAUUAUUGCUAUUAUUUUGCAAAAGGAUAAUAAUUUGGUUUUCUUUUAACAAAAUUUGUUUGGGCAGAGUGCUUAGCUCAUAGUGUUAUUCUUAGGUUCCUCCAAACAGCUUUUCUGGAAUUUUGUUUCCCUCAUUAGCAAUUACAAAGAUAUGCUAAUGCUCUGCACCAAGUGGCAGCUACAUGCUUGAGACCAACACUGAAAAUCAGUCAUGGAAUCACUGCAUAUCUGAACAAGGGCCACGAGAGGAGGCACAGAUGGGUCAAUUGACUUGAGCAGAGCCACCCAGCAAAUUCAGUGUCAGAGUAUGGUAACUAGAUCUCCUGAUCCAACCAUCCUUCCCUGCACCCUCCCAUCUAGGCUAAUGAGGAGAAAUGUAAUCGCGGUGGUAAUUGCAGGCAAAGAUGAGCAUCACUCGGUAAAGCAGUAUGUGUACUUGAGUUGGCCAUAUGGAAAAUCCAGUGCAGGAUAUGGGGGUGAAUGGUCAGUUGCUGUGUGUCAUUGGUGGGAUGGAAUCUAUGGCCUUCUUGGCUAUUCUUUACAUGAAACAUUUCCUGGGGGUGAUGGUCCAGUUAAAAGUCCUCUUACAGAUAAAAUAAAACUAACUCAAACCAGUAUGUCAUACUUCACCAGUCUGGUGUUUCAACCAGGGAAGCCCAUGCCAAGAUGAGAAAGAAGUCUACCCUUCCCGUGGCUGAGCUGUGGCUCCUCCUUAUCAGUUCCUAGUAGGAGAAGCUAUGUUCCCCCUAGGCUAGAGGACUUCACAUUCUGGACACUGGCGGCUCAGGGGAGCUCUGUUGUACCACCACUGUGGCCCCAGAACCUGCUGUUGCUGUCCAAAUCCGGGGAGUCUAAGGAAAUGUCCCAUUCUCACCGCUGCUAAUAGUGAUUAGCAAGCUAAUGCAACAUGUCCAGCUUUACCACACUCUCCCACUGUCCCCAGUGGCUGCUUUUUAUGGCUAUGCAAGUAAACACCAUCAGCCUGGGAA